rnacentral:tRNA from 1 species
GGCCCCUUGGUCAAGCGGUUAAGACGCCGCCCUCUCAAGGCGGAAUCAUGGGUUCGAUUCCCGUAGGGGUCACCA